UACAGAGGUCUCAACCGUUGUUCGGAUUCAUUGGGCGUAAAGGGUGCGUAGGCGGUCGCGUAAGUCAGGUGUGAAAUCCCGGGGCUCAACCCCGGAACUGCACUUGAUACUGCGUGGCUAGGGUACUGGAGAGGAGACUGGAAUUUACGGUGUAGCAGUGAAAUGCGUAGAUAUCGUAAGGAAGACCAGUGGCGAAGGCGAGUCUCUGGACAGUUACCGACGCUGAGGCACGAAGUCCAGGGGAGCAAACGGG
rnacentral:rRNA from 1 species